UUGGAUGCUGAAGGAGAUGAAUGGGCU
rnacentral:piRNA from 1 species